UACAGAGACUGCAAGCGUUAUUCGGAUUCACUGGGCGUAAAGGGCUCGUAGGCGGCCAACUAAGUCAGACGUGAAAUCCCCAGGCUUAACCUGGGAACUGCGUCUGAUACUGGAUGGCUUGAAUCCGGGAGAGGGAUGCAGAAUUCCAGGUGUAGCGGUGAAAUGCGUAGAUAUCUGGAGGAACACCGGUGGCGAAGGCAGCGUCCUGGGCCAACACUGACGCUGAGGAGCGAAAGCCAGGGGAGCAAACGGG
rnacentral:rRNA from 1 species